AGUGAACGCUGGCGGUAGGCCUAACACAUGCAAGUCGAACGGCAGCACAGUAAGAGCUUGCUCUUACGGGUGGCGAGUGGCGGACGGGUGAGGAAUACAUCGGAAUCUACUUUUUCGUGGGUGAUAACGUAGGGAAACUUAGGCUAAUACCGCAUACGACCUACGGGUGAAAGCAGGGGAUCUUCGGACCUUGCGCGAUUGAAUGAGCCGAUGUCGGAUUAGCUAGUUGGCGGGGUAAAGGCCCACCAAGGCGACGAUCCGUAGCUGGUCUGAGAGGAUGAUCAGCCACACUGGAACUGAGACACGGUCCAGACUCCUACGGGAGGCAGCCGUGGGGAAUAUUGGACAAUGGGCGCAAGCCUGAUCCAGCCAUACCGCGUGGGUGAAGAAGGCCUUCGGGUUGUAAAGCCCUUUUGUUGGGAAAGAAAAGCAGCAGGUUAAUACCCCGCUGUUAUGACGGUACCCAAAGAAUAAGCACCGGCUAACUUCGUG
rnacentral:rRNA from 1 species